AGUGAACGCUGGCGGUAGGCCUAACACAUGCAAGUCGAACGGCAGCACAGUAAGAGCUUGCUCUUACGGGUGGCGAGUGGCGGACGGGUGAGGAAUAUAUCGGAAUCUACUUUUUCGUGGGGGUUCACGUAGGGAAACUUACUCUGAUACCGCAUACGACCUACGGUUGAAAGCAGUGGAUCUUCGGACCUUGCGCGAUUGAAUUAGCCGAUGUUGGAUUAGCUGGUUGGCGGGGUAAAGGCCCACCAAGGCGACGAUCCGUAGCCGGUCUGAGAGGAUGAUCGGCCACACUAGAGGUGGAACACGGUCAAGGCUCCUGAGAGAGGCAGCAGUGGGGAAUAUUAGACAGUAGGCGCAAGCCUGAUCCAACGAUACCACGUGGGUGAAGAAGGCGUUCGGGUUGUAUAGCCCUUUUGUUGGGAAAGAAAAGCAGCAGGUUGAGACCACGCUGUUCUGACGGUACCGGAAGAAUAAGCACCGGCUAACUUCGUG
rnacentral:rRNA from 1 species